rnacentral:rRNA from 1 species
UACGUAGGGUGCGAGCGUUGUCCGGAAUUAUUGGGCGUAAAGAGCUCGUAGGCGGUGUGUCGCGUCGGCCGUGAAAACCUGCAGCUUAACUGUGGGCUUGCGGUCGAUACGGGCAUCACUGGAGUUCGGCAGGGGAGACUGGAAUUCCUGGUGUAGCGGUGAAAUGCGCAGAUAUCAGGAGGAAUACCAGCGGCGAAGGCGGCGCUCUGGGCCGGUACUGACGCUGAGGAGCGAAAGCGUGGGGAGCAAACAGG